CAAUAGCGUAUAUUUAAGUUGUUGCAGUUAAAAAGCUCGUAGUUGGAUUUCGGUUAAGAGCGACCGGUCCGCCGUUUGGUGUGCACUGGUUGGUUUUAACUUCCUGUAGAGGACGUGCUCUGGGUUUAACGACCUGGACUCGGAGUCUACGUGGUUACUUUGAAAAAAUUAGAGUGUUCAAAGCGGGCUUGCGCUUGAAUAUUUCAGCAUGGAAUAACACUAUAGGACUCCUGUCCUAUUUCGUUGGUCUCGGGACGGGAGUAAUGAUUAAGAGGAACAGUUGGGGGCAUUCGUAUUUCAUUGUCAGAGGUGAAAUUCUUGGAUUUAUGAAAGACGAACUUCUGCGAAAGCAUUUGCCAAGGAUGUUUUCAUUAA
rnacentral:rRNA from 1 species